UGCACCUGUAAUCUCAGCUACUCAGGAGGCGGAGGUGGGAGAAUUGCUUGAACCCGGAAGGCAGAGGUUGCAGUGAGCUGACAUCAUGCCAUUGCACUCCGGCCUGGGCGACAGAGUAAGACUCCAUCUCAAAAAAAAAAAAAAAAAAAAAAAAAAAAUAUAUAUAUAUAUAUAUAUAUAUAUAUAUAUAUAUUGCAAAACUUAUUUAAGAAAAAUUAGAAAGACUGAAAGAUGUAUAUUUUUAAAAAUUGAAUCAAUAACUAAAAAUCUACUCUCCCCCAGAAAAUUUUUAAAAAGGUUUCUAAGGUGAGAUCUACCAAAGCUACCUGAUACAAACUGUUCUAGGAAAUGUAAAACGAGGAAAUACUUCCACAUCAUUUUAUGCAAUUAGUAUAUAAUCUUUACAUCAAAACUGGUGAGAAUAGUACAAGACAAGAAUAUUUUCAACCAGUCUCAUAAACCUGGAUACAAAAACCCUAAAAAUACUUGCAAACUGAAUUACCAAUGUAUAUGAAAAAGCUAUAUCAUGACCAAAUUAUAUUUAUCUCAGGGAUACAAGGAUGGCUUAAUGUUAGAAAGUUUAUUAAAAUUUUUGGUUAAAGAUGGAGGGCUGAAUCUCACAUUAGCUUUUUCUCUCUCUCAAUACCUCACUAAUUUGCUAGUAAAGGGAAUUUAAAAUGGAACAAAUCCACAGAGACAGGAAGAAUGAGUUUGUAUACAGCAACAAUAAAAUUAAGGGGUCUAGAACCAGCUCUGGUUUCAGCUCCAACAUGUAAAAAACUUGGAAAUCAUCAUGCCUGUCCCUACAGUAAGAAGGUAGUGUAAACUAAAAAUAGAUUAUUUUUCCUAGACCCAUCAGAGAAUUGAAGUCACAGGGCAAAUUACUACCCUGAAAUCUGGAGAGACAGGGAGAUCCAAAGAGAUUCAGCACCUGAGAUGUGCUUACCUAGAAUAAAAGCUGGUGACAGCCAUAAGUGGUAGGACCACUUACUUGACUAGUGGUUUUGACAAGUUGCUGGAAACUGAGUGAGGACUAGCAUGAGACUGAGAAAUACCUGAAGGCCACACUUAUAGGAGAAGUUCACACUUUUGAGGGCUUUCCCUGCAAUAACUUCACCAAGUUCUCAUGAUAAGGAUCUGAGAAAAAUCCCCCUGAGGAUCUGGCUGAUGUAGGGGGAAGUGUAGCUAUUGCGUAACCCCUAGAUACUUCUUCAUAACAAAAGUCUAUUCUUGGGUUCCGGGAUCCUUCAUCAUAAAGUAGUACUGAAACUUUAUCCCACCUGGAGAAGGGAUUUCCACUCCGCUCCAGGCUUUCCGUAUCACCUAAAGGGAAAAAAACAGUAAAUAGGGAACAGGCUUAAGGGAAAUAGAUUGGAAAUGCUGCAAUCAGGAAGGGGAGUAGGGAGAUGAGUUAGGCUCCUGAAGGAAGGAUGGAACCAUUUGUGUAGGCUACAACCCCCGAGACCCAGGCACACUCAAAGACUGAUAAUUAAUCAGAAGAUUAUAGACUGAUUCCCUUCCCCCACACCCUACCCAAUCUCUCAUAUCCUGGUACUAAGAUAUUAGGAUUGUGGCACCAUCUUUGUGGAAGACUGGGUUAGGUCUGAAAUACUAUUACUGGUGAAAUGAAUUAUUUCACACAGUUUGUGGACAGAGUAUUUGAUACAAGAAACUUUUUUUUGAGACAGGGUCUCACUUUAUUACCCAGGCUGAAGUGCAGUGGUGCCAUCACAGCUCACUGCAGCUUCGAACUCCUGGGCUUAAGCGAUCCUCCUGCUUCAGCCUCCCAAGUAGCUAGAGCUACAGGCAUGCGCCACCAUGCUCGGCUGAUUUUUGUACUUUUUGUAGAGGUAGGGUUUUGGCAUUUUGCCCAGGCUAGUCUCAAACUCCUGGGCUCAAGUGAUCUGCCCACCUUGGCCUCCCAAAGUGCUGGGAUUAUAGGCACAAGCCACUGUGCCCAGCCUUGAUAUAAGAAACUUAUGUUGAGGAUGUGGACCAGUUUAUAGUAUUUUUCAACAGGUAGCCAGCCCAUCAAAUUAUGAGUGGGAAUUGGAAAAGGACCAGUUCAAUACCUAUGCGUAGAAACUGGGAGAAAAUGACGAAAGAGAAAGGAACAUAAUCAAAGAGCAAAUGGCAAAGUUUACCCAAGGAAACACUGGAAGUAUUAUAAAUAUCAUGAUGGUGUAUAGAUAUCAUACUAUCAUAAUGGGUCAGAGGGCAUAAUGAAGAAAUAUAAGAGCUCAAAGAAGACAAUUAAGAUAAUAUUUUAACCAAGUUUGUAAAUCUCAGAACAAAAUAGAAAAGAAAAAUAAAUUACAAAGCCACAUGAGAAGCAAACAAAUAAACAAACCUCACAGCUAAAAAAAUAGAUACACUGUGAAAAAGCUCAAGAAAAUCACACCAAACAAAAUGGAAGAGAGCAAAUAGCACCGUAAUUAUAGAGAGAACUACAGCCUAUAAGGUAGGUAAAGCUGGUGUGAGAAAUCCUUCAUCUCACCCCAAAUAAAGAAAUCCUUCAUCUCACCCCAAAUAGAAACCCUUCAUCUCACCCCAAAUAAAUAAAUUCUGUAUAAAAUGUAACAGAAAUAAGAUAGGUAUAGCAACAUUCAGUCAAGAAAGGAGAUCAUGAGUACCAGGGACAAAAAGGGAAGGCAAAUUUAGAUCAAUGACCCUGAGCUGAAGCUGAACCACCUAAGGAGGGUAUGGCACUUCGGUAUAUACUAGCAGUAAUAAUGAAAGGGAGCUCUGGGGACCCCGGGGGGGAACCUUUUGGGGGUUCACAAAGUCAAAACUAUUUUCACAAUAAUACCGAGAUUUUAUUUGAAUUUAUUGAUUUCUUUAUUAAGUACAUAGUGCAGUUUUCCUGGGGCUAUGAUAUUACAACAGGUUGAAUAUAGAAGGAGAUAUGAGAAUCCAGCCAGAUUUGUAAAAAUGUAAAACAAUGCAAUUAAAUGUUUUGCAUAUUUGAAUAUAUACUUAUUUUUCACUAAAAGUAUGUUAUUUAUGUAACAUGUAACAUGUUUUCAGUAUUAUUUUAAAUGAAUUAACAAAUUAAUAUUUAAAAAUUUUAUCACUUUUAAGUUCUAUUAUGGCAAAUAUUGAUAGAUAUAACCCACCUAAACAAAAGUUCUUUAGGAUGUUCAAAAUAAUUUAUUUUUAUGUUAAAAUUAACAUAUAGUAAAACUGAGUUUGUUGGCAUGCAGUUUGAAGAAUUUUAGCACUUGCAUAUGUUCAUGUAACCACCACCACAAACAGAAUAAAG
rnacentral:lncRNA from 1 species